ACCCUGGCUAAGGUUAUGCAUGUUCAAAGAAUUUCCAAGCCCAUUCUGAGAAUCGUAAUGGAAAUGAAAAUGACAAUUUCCACCAGCGACAUUGAAGGUGAAGUUUUGAGGACCAACAAAGGGCAGUCUAAUAUGUUGCGAGUUAGAAGUGCAGUUUGAAAACUGAUUGUUGGGAACAUUUACAACAACAGGUGCUUCUGGCGAUGGAGAAACAUUUUCUUUACCUUUACCUACUGGGUUUACUUGAUUAAUACUGGAUGGUUGCUUAAAGCUACAUGUAGGCUCAGUUGAUGCUCUAAAGCUUGGUGACUGAAGAGACUGUGGUGGACUACAAUCGGGUACAGGAUACACACUUGAUGACUUCACAGUUGAUGUAUUAACUUUGGACGGACUGGUGCCACAAACCAAAGGCGAUUGCACAGGAUCAGCAGCUAAAUAGCCAUCUUUUGACGGGUUGGACAAUGAACUGAUUUUAAGGCCACUUGACAAAACUUGACAACACUGGCGUUUUUGGGCAGAUGUUUGGCCGUCUAUGUAAUGUUUCAAACUCUCUUCAUUUUCGUGCUUUGUUAUUUUACAUAUGUGUUUGGUGUCAACACCCCCUUGGUACAUCAUUGAUAUAGAAGUGGCACGAACAGAAUGGUUAGUGUAAUCCUUUGAAAGUGAUGCUUUUUUGAUAUCACUUUCAUUAUGUCACCAAGCUUGUUUUUACCUAUAACAGUGUUAUGGUACCAGGAAGUGCUAUUUUCCCAGUCAGAUGACUUUGGUUUUUGAAAAAGUGCAUCAUUUUCUGGGUUUAAUUUAGAUUUAUAAAACUUAUAAACAUCAACAAUGUUUAGCUUAGCAUUUUCGUUUAUAACUAGCCCGUAAGCUCUAACAUCACUAUAGUCCCAGGCUUAGAACUGGAACUACCUUGCCAGUUUUUUGUUAUUUCAUUACUGGUCAUUACAAGAUACUCGAGGCCCAUGUCAUCUUUUUUAAUGUCAAAUGUGGAUUUAUUCAUCUCUCUAAAACCUUCUCGUCCCCUACGAGCAAACAGGUAACACAACAGAAACCAGAAUGUAUGUAGUGCAUUUUCUGGUGACUGCUCAUAUUUUAUCUAGUACUGAGCAAGUUUUGCCAUGUCACCUUCCUCUAUUGCAGGAUAAUGUCUUUGUUUCUGAGUGGUAGGUUUUGCCACAUACAAUUUACAAAUAUUUUCAAGCAUUUUGUUUGCUUGAACAAAUUCUUUAUCUUCCAUUAUGUUUAUUGUUCUUUUGUAAAGCUGACCAGUCAGUGUUCUGUGUAAACCAGCUCUAAUGCCUCUCAUGCUUCCUGGAGCUAAGUAUUCCUGCUUAAGGGACCUUACUUCAGCAUAAAAUUUCCUUAGGUGUAAUGCUAGCUCUGUUGGUGAAACUUCAUGCAGAUCAAUAUUUAAAUUACGCCUAUUUUGCCAAUCUGUAAUAUAACAUUCACAUUCUGAACAAUAUUUUAAAUGUUUAUUAAAUGACUAGGAAUAGCUAUGCCUGUGUUUAGGGGUACCCAGCGAAAUAUUCAAAUAAGGACGUUAUUUAUUGAUUAGGCCUGAAAAAUAUUUGUUUCCGGUAACAUGCUAAAAAAACAUUAGGGUAUGUAUAUUGGAAUUAUUUUGGUGGGGGAGGGGGACAGCUGGUAGAACUUGAUGAUGCUGGUAGUUGUAUGGCCAACUUUCAUCGCGGAACAGCGGAUGCCUGAAGGCCUUUAGCCUCUCGCCAGUUGCGCGUGACCGUACCUAGUAUCUGUUGCAAGGCCUCUCCUACAGUAUAUCGACUACGACAAAUUUCUAAUUUUCAGACCUCUCAGAAUAUAUACAUUCUUGCAUUGAAACUAACUGUUGGUGUUCAUUUUGUUUGUUUUCAUUAGUGUUUCGCAU
rnacentral:lncRNA from 1 species